UAUCCCCCCCAAAAUAAAACAGAGAAUUAGUUAAAAAAAAAAGAAAUACUUUUAAAAAAGAUGUUAACAUUUUCUCCCAGUCCAGCUGUGAAAUGGGUAACUAAAUUGGCUACUUGAGACAAAAAAUUUCCUUCGAGAACCUCUUCUAUUACACUUUCAUGUAAACGUUUUAACUCCUCUCUUCUUAACUUCCUUUUCUGGUGGGAUUGUGCCGAACAGUUGGCUACCACUCAGGAAAGCAUCAUAAUUGUAGGCAUUAGCUCAGCCAAAAGGCCAUGUUUUUGCUUUAGGGUAAACUUGUUAAAAUUGGGAACUCAGCCAAGGUCAUCCAUCUACAAACGUUGUGAAAGCAUCUUCUGGUUGUUCAUCUAGCUACGGUCUAAUUAAUUUUCAAACGGACAAAGUAGCUUCUUGGGCCAUGUAACAAGCAUUUUCAUUCAUUUAAGCAAAGCUGGAUUUGGCCCGGAGCAGGGUCACGAGAAAUUCUAAUAGCUUCUUCUCUUCUUUGUGUGUCCUCAGGAGAGCUCGCAUUGAUGUCAACAAAGCAAGAUUUGUGCUCCAGGCAGUCUGAAUAGAAUCUGUUUCCAGCCAGCCAAGUUCUCUGACUUCCCCGAGAAGGAGAGGGUCUGGAAUUGAGCAUAUGGGACGGCUCUGCAGGGCCUUUUUCUUUAUUGGAUUUAGCUACACUCACAUAAUGAAAUUGUAGGGAUUGUUUAAACCUUCUGCAGGGACUUCUGUUAGCAGAGAAGAAACUUGUACUAAAGCCAUAAGAAGAUUGUAUUAUAGACAUAAUGGAAUCUUUUUUAUCUUUUGCCUGGUUUUCUGCGCAGGGACUGACUUUUUUUUUUUUUCUGGGCACCAAGCCAGAGGUCUAUUUAACUUCUUAAAAUUUCCCAUGGUCACUAAUACUGCCCCUGUCCCACACCCGUCCCUUGGCAGCUUCAUAAAUUAAUAAAUAAAGACACAGCCAUCUGAAAGGUUGUGAAUCCUCACGGUUAACUUCUAAAUAACAUUUGCAAGCUUUUUUUUGUUUUUAAGGUGGCUGUUUUGCACAAUCAACAUGAUAACACCUAUAGAAAGCAGGUGCUACAGCCUUCAGGAAAGUGUUUCACCGAUAUAAUCCAAAUUUCAGUAAAACGUUGGAUUUGUUUACCUUUGUCCUAAGACUACAUCUGUAACCAAACAAAGCUGGAAUGAAAAUGCAAGUUUGCUUACAUCAGGUGAGUUCUCCAAAGCAGGUGAAGUGUUACCACUCGUAUUUUUACUACAGUUAGGACUGGGGAGUGUUAGUGGUAUUUUUCAGUUUUGAACUUGACAUUUUAUUUAUUUAUUUUUAGAUUUUCUAGGAGGUGGGUGCUUUUUGUUUAGCUUCUUUCAAUUUUAUUUUGUUUUGCCAAUUUAGAGAUAGAGUUUGUUUCUGUAAGAGAGAGUGGACCUAGGUUGUAGGCAUCUUCUUAUAAAGUGCCAUCAGGAUAAUCUGACUGUAAACAGUGCACCUCUUUGAAUACCACAUGUUCUAGGAAAUGACUGGCUACAGAAAACCCUCCGCCACUAGUACCUGUUUUAAGAGCAUGCCCAAAUUGCUUGCUUGCCCCAUGACAGCUAGCCAAGGACUGCCAAAUGUACCUGUAGAAAGUCAUCCUGGCUUCCAAAAUCCCACCUUAAAAGAACUAUUGCCACUCAGAGGCUGUCUGAGCCUUUCUUUUCUCACUGUAUCAAAUGCCGUCUCCUUUCUCACACCCUAAAAUCCCUGCUGAUAGUUCCCCUUGCAAGAUUAUGAAUAGUCUUGGAUGCUUUUGUCUCAGCCUAAGUUUUGUCUUUGACAGAUGUAUCCCCAACUUAGACUCCCUUGCCCAUAGAAGAAUCAAAUUUUUACUCAUUCAACAGAACUCCACUCUUUACUGCCUGCCAGACGCUAUUUCCAGGAUUGAGAUGUAAGAUACAUAAUUUGCCCUCUGUCCAGUUUAAAAAUGUUAAUCCAGUAAUUCCAUACAUAGUAGUAAUUUAUCACUAACCAUGCUUACCAAGGUAUAAACCUGGUUUUUAUAGUUUAGAGAGAAGUGGUCCCUCUUUUCUAUGUGUAAUCGAAAACUAAAUUGUUCAACACGACGUUAUAAACUGCUUGUGAUAGAGAUAGUUAUCGUUGUGAUUGCCAUCACCUCCUCUCAGUAUCUGUGAGUAGACAGGCAUCACAUCUGCAAAGAAAAGAGUAAAUUAGUUGACACUUUCACACCCUAACUUCUAGAACUAUAAAAAUAAUUGUCUAGUGACAUAUAUUGACAAUGUUCUCUUUCACCCAGGUUUUUCUGUUUUCAAGAUUACAUGAAAAAGGAUAUUCUCAAAAAGCUAGCAAAAACAAUGGAAAGCAAGACUUUAUCCCAAAUACAAACAUAUUUCUGUUUAGCAAAUAGCAGGGGUAUAUAAAACAUCCCCAUUUCUCUCCUCAUAUAACAGAAUGUUCUCUGCUUACUGUAUUAGUUAACAAAUUCAAGUCUGUUUAUCUUGUUUGAAAUCCCACUUCAUCCAUAAAUUACAGCGUCCCACAAUAACACCAGAAGGACAAUAUCACCAUUGUUUGCUUCCACAAUCAUCUCAGCCCACAAAAUUCUCUUCCAUUGUCAGCUUGCUGUCAUCAAGCCAUUGUUUUCCUCUUUUCAGGGUCUCCCUACGAAUAUCAUUCAAAUCGUUUAAACACUCAGCAAUGUUUUUGCUAUCCGUGCAGACUUCUAAAGAGCUGGAGCCCCAGCGUGAUGACCAAAUCAGCCUUGACUAUUUAUCUCUCCACAGUCAUUCUUUCCCGGGGCCCCGGAGUAGCUGAGUUGCACUGUGUGCGGUGCAGUGGGGGCGCUUCCCCUGCUGAAGCUGGGCGGUUCCACUGGACAAUGCAGCCUUUUCUGCUCCACUCUCUGGGCGCGGAAACAAUGAGAUGGUCCAGGGACAGCGGGUGAGGCUGAUUGUUUAUAACAGCGAUUCCCAAACUUCCUAGGGGAAGACAUUUUCAUAUUUAAAAAAAGUGUGUAUUACGAUUACGGAUUCUCUUUACCCUCUUGUUUAAUUGUAAAAGGACGACGGGCACUUGAUUUUAAAAAUUAAUAUGUGAAAACAUGCUGAUCUUAUUCGGGGGAAUCACCUCUUUCUCACUGUGCACAGUCCUCGUGGGAAUGUCAAUUAAAUCCUUUGUCCUCUGGUAGCCAAGGAUGAGAUCCCUUUCAGAAAGCAAGAGGGCCUGCUGGUUCUGCCCCAAGAUCGUGAGCUGGAGUAAAGAGAUGCCAUUCAACCUUGAAAUCAUUUUCUAGAAGCAGUAUCUGUUGGCCUCUGGGGAUGCUAAAACCUCCUCUGCCUACUGUGGCCAAGGAAAGAAAUAGUCCACUGGCCAAAUUUGCAGACUCUGGGGCAAGACCAUCAGGUUUUGGAACAUAGUCACGGACAGUUAAGACGGAAAGAACUAAGAAGGCACAAUUGCAUUUUUAUUCCACAACCAGGCAACUCAAAACUGGGGUCCUCAGCAGUGAGCCGGGGCAGGUGAGAAGACACUAUGUACAUGUGGCACAUCUUCUGGGAAAGUCAACUUUACUCAAAGUUUUUACUGAGAUAAAAUUGAUGUCCAGCACUGUGUAAAUUUAAGGCGUACGGCAUGAUGAUUUUAUUUAUGUAUACCAUGAAAUGAUUAUCAAGGUAAGUUUAGUGACUAUGCAUCAUCUCAUAUUGGUAUCAAAUAAAAGGAAUAGAAAAAUUUUUUUCUUGUGAUGAGACAGGAUUUACUCUUUUAGCAUCUUCAUGUAUG